rnacentral:rRNA from 1 species
GACGAACGCUGGCGGCGUGCUUAACACAUGCAAGUCGAACGGAAAGGCCUCUUUCGGGGGGUACUCGAGUGGCGAACGGGUGAGUAACACGUGAGUAACCUGCCCUUGACUUUGGGAUAACUUCAGGAAACUGGGGCUAAUACCGGAUAGGAGCUCCUGCUGCAUGGUGGGGGUUGGAAAGUUUCGGCGGUUGGGGAUGGACUCGCGGCUUAUCAGCUUGUUGGUGGGGUAGUGGCUUACCAAGGCUUUGACGGGUAGCCGGCCUGAGAGGGUGACCGGCCACAUUGGGACUGAGAUACGGCCCAGACCCUACGGGAGGCAGCAGUGGGGAAUAUUGCACAAUGGGUGGAAGCCUGAUGCAGCAACGCCGUGUGCGGGAUGACGGCCUUCGGGUUGUAAACCGCUUUCGCUCAUGACGAAGCUUUGUGUGACGGUAGUGGGUAAAGAAGCACCGGCUAACUACGUG